rnacentral:rRNA from 1 species
UGGCCAGACUCCUACGGGAGGCAGCAGUGGGGAAUAUUGCACAAUGGGGGGAACCCUGAUGCAGCGACGCCGCGUGAAGGAAGAAGUAUUUCGGUAUGUAAACUUCUAUCAGCAGGGAAGAAAAUGACGGUACCUGACUAAGAAGCCCCGGCUAACUACGUGCCAGCAGCCGCGGUAAUACGUAGGGGGCAAGCGUUAUCCGGAUUUACUGGGUGUAAAGGGAGCGUAGGCGGCGAUGCAAGUCAGAAGUGAAAGCCCGGGGCUCAACCCCGCGGAUUGCUUUUGGAACUGUCAGGCUGGAGUGCAGGAGGGGCAGGCGGAAUUCCUGGUGUAGCGGUGAAAUGCGUAGAUAUCAGGAGGAACACCGGUGGCGAAGGUGGCCUGCUGGACUGUGACUGACGUUGAGGCCCGAAGGCGUGGGGAGCAAACAGGAUUAGAUACCCUUGUAC